GGAAAAUUGUGCAGAGUCAGUAAAGAAGUGGAGGGAGGAUGGAGCCCUGAGGGGGGCCGCAUUAGAGGGUAGACUCAAAAGCAGGAAAGGCCAGAAAUCAUCAACAGGUUAAGAGGCAGGCAGAGGAAGAUUUAACACAGAAGAAGUAGACAAGGUGACACUGAAACAAGACGUUAAGCUGCUGGUUUGAAGACGGAGGAAGGAGCCAUGAACCAAGGAGCACAGCUCUAGAAGCUGGAAAAGGCCAGGAAGCAGAUUUUCCCUAGAGCCUCAGGAGAGAGCACUGCCUCUCUGAGAUCUUGAUUUCAUCCCAGUGAAACUGAUUUUGGACUUCUGACCUCCAGAAUCAUAAGACAAUAAA